rfam:Camelus ferus unplaced genomic scaffold scaffold386, whole genome shotgun sequence.
GAGGGUAUAGCUCAGUGGUAGAGUGUGUGCUUAGCAUGCACAAGGUCCUGGGUUCAAUCCCCAGUACCUUUA